rnacentral:rRNA from 1 species
UACGAAGGGGGCUAGCGUUGCUCGGAAUGACUGGGCGUAAAGGGCGCGUAGGCGGCUCAUACAGUCAGAUGUGAAAUUCCUGGGCUUAACCUGGGGGCUGCAUUUGAUACGUGUGGGCUUGAGUGGGGAAGAGGGUCGUGGAAUUCCCAGUGUAGAGGUGAAAUUCGUAGAUAUUGGGAAGAACACCAGUGGCGAAGGCGGCGACCUGGGCCAAUAUUGACGCUGAGGUGCGAAAGCGUGGGGAGCAAACAGG